CUAUCAUUACACUUGUGAAAAAAUGAACCUAUUUGGGACUCUGGCUGUCACCCUCUGCGCCAUCUUUGUUCUGAUUAUUCUUCCAGAUGAAGACAGUGUUGAGCCCGUGCACGAUCUGUUGCUCAAUUAUCAGAAAGAGGCGCUGAAAUCACGCUACGGCGAUGCGCGAUCACUGAAUCAUAGCGAGACAAGGCGCAUCUACAAUUCGGUGCUUUCAGAAGUGCAGAAAGCUAUCUUCAAUUUACACGAGGAUGCUGACCGAAAGGCAUACACGUGCUCAAGGAUUCGGUCUCAAGCUCGUCAAUACGCACGCUCUAGAGACGGGACGUACAAAGGGCCUUUGUUGGAAAUCGCGUUGCAGCUGCGUGAUGGUUACGUACACGGUGUCAAAUACCUACACGUGGCAUUGCAAAAAGACUUGUCAUAUUCUCUGGCGCUUCAGAGGCCAACUCUUCUUCACACGGCGAUGGUGGUGAGGCAAACAUACUACUGCUUGGCACCAACGCUGAGCGGGGGAGAAUGUCCGUCAUACGCCUUCCUGCGCGUUAUCCGAGACAAAAGCGACACCGAAAUUCUCGAAUCUUGCGUGAGAAGCAACAAGGGGUUCAAUGGCGUGUAGGGAAGGAAAAUAUCAGCUGAAUCGAAUCAGUGGUGACCUGCGCAGCAGAUUGUUGCAACUAGUUCAAGAAACACCAAAACAACUAUGCUUAUGGGCUCCUUUCACAUCGAUCCGAUC
rnacentral:misc_RNA from 1 species